rnacentral:rRNA from 1 species
GAUGAACGCUGGCGGCGUGCCUAAUACAUGCAAGUCGAGCGAACAGACGAGGAGCUUGCUCCUCUGACGUUAGCGGCGGACGGGUGAGUAACACGUGGAUAACCUCCCUAUAAGACUGGGAUAACUUCGGGACACCGGAGCUAAUACCGGAUAAUAUAUUGAACCGCAUGGUUCAAUAGUGAAAGACGGUUUUGCUGUCACUUAUAGAUGGAUCCGCGCCGCAUUAGCUAGUUGGUAAGGUAACGGCUUACCAAGGCAACGAUGCGUAGCCGACCUGAGAGGGGGAACGGACACACUGGAACGGAGACAGGGUCCAGACUCCUACGGGAGGAAGCAGUAGGGAAUCUUCGGCAAGGGGCGAAAGCCUGACGGAGCAAAGCCGCGGGAGUGAGGAAGGUCUUCGGAUCGUAAAACUCUGUUAUUAGGGAAGAACAAAAGUGUAAGUAAAUAUGCACGUCUUGACGGUACCUAAUCAGAAAGCCACGGCUAACUACGUG